rnacentral:rRNA from 1 species
AGUGAACGCUGGCGGUAGGCCUAACACAUGCAAGUCGAACGGCAGCACAGUAAGAGCUUGCUCUUACGGGUGGCGAGUGGCGGACGGGUGAGGAAUACAUCGGCAUCUACUUUUUCGUGGGGGAUAACGUAGGGAAACUUACGCUAAUACCGCAUACGACCUACGGGUGAAAGCAGGGGAUCUUCGGACCUUGCGCGAUUGAAUGAGCCGAUGUCGGAUUAGCUAGUUGGCGGGGUAAAGGCCCACCAAGGCGACGAUCCGUAGCUGGUCUGAGAGGAUGAUCAGCCACACGGGAACGGAGACACGGUCCAGACUCCUACGGGAGGCAGCAGUGGGGAAUAUUGGACAAUGGGCGCAGGCCUGAUGCAGCCAUACCGCGUGGGUGAAGAAGGCCUUCGGGUUGUAAAGCCCUUUUGUUGGGAAAGAAAAGCAGCAGGUUAAUACCCCGCUGUUCUGACGGUACCCAAAGAAUAAGCACCGGCUAACUUCGUG